UACGGAAGGCAGCAGUGGGGAAUAUUGGACAAUGGGCGAAAGCCUGAUCCAGCCAUGCCGCAUGAGUGAAGAAGGCCUUCGGGUUGUAAAGCUCUUUUAGUGAGAAAGAUAAUGACGGUACUCACAGAAGAAGUCCUGGCUAACUCCGUGCCAGCAGCCGCGGUAAUACGGAGAGGGCUAGCGUUAUUCGGAAUUAUUGGGCGUAAAGAGCACGUAGGUGGUUUUUUAAGUCAGAUGUGAAAUCCCUGGGCUUAACCUGGAACUGCAUUUUGAAACUGAAAUACUAGAGUAUCGUAGAGGGAGGUAGAAUUCUAGGUGUAGCGGUGAAAUGCGUAGAUAUCUGGAGGAAUACCUGUGGCGAAAGCGGCCUCCUAAACGAUACUGACACUGAGGUGCGAAAGCGUGGGGAGCAAACAGGGAUUAGAUACC
rnacentral:rRNA from 1 species